UGGGUUUGGCUUCCUUGAAAUCGGAGGAAAUUCCUCCUAAGUGGUUAAAUGCUUUCUUUCUCUUCAAAUUCAUGCAUAUUCAUGUUUAGUAGCAUUUAUGGAAAUUUUGAAUGCUUAGAACUCAUAUGUUACGCAUCAAGAAAGUUACUCUAUAUAGUAGAGAGACAAAUGUGCUUUGUUAAUAUGCAUGCGACGAAUACUCUAUGAGAUGAUAGGAAAUAAAGUUUCAUGCUUCGAUUUUGACUAGAAAUUAUAAGUUCUUGAAUUUAUUAUUCAUGUUGGGACAAAAUGAGCCAUAGUGUCAUAAAGAGGUACUUGGACUAGAGAAUUAUUAAACUGCAACGUAGAGACUUGAUAAUAGGCCACCUUGACAUCAACUAUAUUCCAUAUUUGAGAUAUAAUGAAAUAGUGACUUGGCCACGAGGACAUUUGCUGUAUACCAUGUUACUGAACAUGAGAAUUUGGUACUUGCGACUGAUCGUUUGAUUACUUGCCAUUGUGCUCAUUCGCACAUGCUUGUGAGGGUCGCUCCCUACAAGCCGGCACUCCGGAGAUGGCCAUCGCGAUUCAUACUCGCCGUGCGGGAUUAGGCGCCGAAGUGGAUUGCCGUGGGACAGGCCCAUCCCUAGGAUGGGGAUGAUGACUACCACGGGGCCAUUAGGCUCGGCACCGGCCAGACAGCCUUCGGGUGGGUCUCAGGGCUAUAGACAGCCUUCGGGUGGGUCUCUUCAGAUUCGACUUGAGUAUUCGUUAUGACAUGUGGACAGAUGAUGAUUUAGAGUAUUAUUUGGACAUUGACUAGAAUAGUAAACAAUAGAACUUUAUUAUUUCGCAUUGUGAACAUUAUGAUAGUUGGAGACUUUUACUUCAUGCAUAGUUGUUUCAUACUUAUGCUAUUUAGGCUAAGUAGAGAUAUCAUGUUAUAGUAAGUUACAUUUUACUUACCUUUCGCUUUUCUACAUCUAUAGUCACUAACCUCUUUUGUAGCUUUGGGCCUUGUGGUGCAUUCACUGAAGUCAGUAAUCGCCCACUGGGAACUAUUUUUGAUAGUUCUCACGCCCCUGUUUUAUGGUUUCCUUUUCAGAGCCUUCG
rnacentral:lncRNA from 1 species